GGAUACGAGGGUGAUCUGACUGCAACAUCUAUCAACCCACUGAUCGCCAGGGCUGGUUCCACUGGUCUGGUUGGCUAGGCGGGUGUCCCCUUCUCCCUCACCCCUCCAUGUUCAUCCCUCCCAAAUCUGCGCACUCCCUCGAAGAGGACAGCCAUCCCCAAUAGAUGAGGACCAUUUCCUUGGUCAAGGGUAUAUCAGUAGCUACAUUCCUCUGCUAGAACCUCCAAACAAACAAUCUCUCAAGAAUGUAUCAGAGAAGUCUAUGUAGUUUAAAAUGACUAAAUGUCCAGCAAAAAAGCUCAGAAGUCAGAAUGUAGCUGUAUACUUCAUAUUU
ensembl:misc_RNA 7SK 7SK RNA